UAGGGAAUCUUCCACAAUGGACGAAAGUCUGAUGGAGCAACGCCGCGUGAGUGAAGAAAGGUUUCGGCUCGUAAAACUCUGUUGUUAAAGAAGAACAUAUCUGAGAGUAACUGUUCAGGUAUUGACGGUAUUUAACCAGAAAGCCGCGGCUAACUACGUGCCAG
rnacentral:rRNA from 1 species